rnacentral:lncRNA from 1 species
AGACUUGUUUGUGGUGAAAUGCGUCAUUAUUCCGUGUUGAGUUUCAUUAGAAUUUACUGUUGUGGAACGCCCAUAUGUUGUGGUAAGAACUCUAUUUUUACUGUCAUGUAACUCUGAGCUUUGUACAGUUUUUUUGCAAUUUAUUUGUUCAGAGUAUGGUACGCUCGCUACCUUGCCUUUCGUUGAGUACUUGGUCGUGGAUGUUUAGACGAUGGUCUGGAAAUUUAUGGCAGGUAUGCACUCCAUAUGGUAAUUCAGGCAUAUUGGUUUGAUUCACGCCCAUAUUGAUGAUUUAGCAUUGAGGCGGGAUACUUGUUGUAAUAGUUGCAGACUAAAUGUCAAGGCAUAUUUCCAUCCAUUUUGGUGUGAUGAUGAUGUUUUAUGUGAAUGCAGCUAGGUCAGUAUGAUUUACAUGGUGGUUUAGCAACACAUGAUGAUGACUUUGUUUUGUGAUGAACUUGAUUGUAGUUUGUUACUUAUGUCUUCUAGGUAGUUGGUUUAUUAGAUGGUGCAAGAUAUUGGUUGCAGGGUUCGGUUGCUUUCCGUUUGUCCAUGGUUACGAUUUCUUGUCCUAGUCCUUAUUAGUGGCAUCGGCUAUUGGUCUGUAAGGUCCCAAGACAUGAUUCCACGAAGCCAUUGUCAUUCAACUUGGUGUAGUCAAAUUACUUUGGUUUACAGUUGUCCUACAUAAAAUCAUGUGUGGUAUGCCUUACAGGGCAGCUUUGCGCUCACAUACUCAUGAUUUCCCUUUUGAUUUGUCUAUUUGUUGAGUUGAUUAGGUACUGCAAGACCUGCAGCUUGCGCGUCUUCUAUCUCGUGUCCAACCGCUAGCUUAUGAUAGUAAGUUGUUCUCUAGUUUUAAUACCUUGCUCUAAUGAUAUGAAUGAAUGCUAGUCAAUAAACAGUUGUGUCCUUUGUGCUAAAAUUUGUUCGAAUUUGUGUAGUAUAGGUUGAAGCUGGACAAGGCGUGUUCUUGAUGCUUGCAGAUAUUGCUUUUGCUGCCCCUUUGCUUUCAUUGGACCAUCCUUGAACAUGACCAUAUUUUAUUUGUAAACCGUAAUGACAUAAGUUGCGUCACUUAGCCAUUCGGCCGUGCUAGCCGUGUACUUGCAUAAUGACAAUGUAUAUGUAUGAGCCGGUUUAAAAUUGACACACACGAUUAUAUGCCAUGCUUGUUGGUUUUUAAAAUGUGAUUUGCAAUUUGGUAUGUAAACAUGUUUUCUUGGAAAUGGCUUGUAUCCAUUGGAAGUAUCACAUUAUUUUGUUACAUUUGUAUCUGCUAGAAACUGAACCACCGCAGGGGACUCAAUUUGCAUUCUAUUUUGGCUUCAAAAAGAGAAAGAUGGUAACCCCCUUUCUUUAAAAUGGUA